rnacentral:rRNA from 1 species
GGAGGAAAAGAAACCAACAGGGAUUGCCUCAGUAACGGCGAGUGAAGCGGCAAAAGCUCAAAUUUGAAAUCUAGCACUUUCAGUGUUCGAGUUGUAAUUUGAAGAAGGUAACUUUGGUUUUGGCUCUUGUCUAUGUUCCUUGGAACAGGACGUCACAGAGGGUGAGAAUCCCGUGCGAUGAGAUGCCCAAUUCCAUGUAAAGUGCUUUCGAAGAGUCGAGUUGUUUGGGAAUGCAGCUCUAAGUGGGUGGUAAAUUCCAUCUAAAGCUAAAUAUUGGCGAGAGACCGAUAGCGAACAAGUACAGUGAUGGAAAGAUGAAAAGAACUUUGAAAAGAGAGUGAAAAAGUACGUGAAAUUGUUGAAAGGGAAGGGCUUGAGAUCAGACUUGGUAUUUUGCGUUCCCUUCCUUUUUGGUUGGGUUCCUCGCAGUUUACUGGGCCAGCAUCGGUUUGGAUGGUAGGAUAAUGACAUUGGAAUGUAGCUUUACUUCGGUGAAGUGUUAUAGACUUUGUUGAUACUGCCUAUCUAGACCGAGGACUGCGUCUUUGACUAGGAUGCUGGCGUAAUGAUCUUAAGCCGCCC